rnacentral:pre_miRNA from 1 species
UAUGUACUCCCUCCGUUCGGAAUUACUUAUCUCAAAAAUGAAUGUAUCUAGACGUAUUUUAAUUCUAGAUACAUCCAUUUCCGAGACAAGUAAUUCCGAAUGGAGGGAGUAGUUC